UACGUAGGGGGCAAGCGUUGUCCGGAAUCAUUGGGCGUAAAGAGCGUGUAGGCGGCCAGAAAAGUCCGCUGUGAAAACUCGAGGCUCAACUUCGAGCUGUCGGUGGAAACUUUCUGGCUAGAGUCCGGAAGAGGAGAAUGGAAUUCCUGGUGUAGCGGUGAAAUGCGCAGAUAUCAGGAGGAACACCAGUGGCGAAGGCGGCAUCCUGGACCGGCAUUGACGCUGAGGAGCGAAAGCUAGGGGAGCAAACGGG
rnacentral:rRNA from 1 species